GCCAGACUCCUACGGGAGGCAGCAGUGGGGAAUAUUGGGCAAUGGGCGCAAGCCUGACCCAGCAACGCCGCGUGAAGGAAGAAGGCUUUCGGGUUGUAAACUUCUUUUGUCAGGGAAGAGUAGAAGACGGUACCUGACGAAUAAGCCACGGCUAACUACGUGCCAGCAGCCGCGGUAAUACGUAGGUGGCAAGCGUUGUCCGGAUUUACUGGGUGUAAAGGGCGUGUAGCCGGGCUGACAAGUCAGAUGUGAAAUUCCGGGGCUCAACCCCGGACCUGCAUUUGAAACUGUUGGUCUUGAGUAUCGGAGAGGCAGGCGGAAUUCCUAGUGUAGCGGUGAAAUGCGUAGAUAUUAGGAGGAACACCAGUGGCGAAGGCGGCCUGCUGGACGACAACUGACGGUGAGGCGCGAAAGCGUGGGGAGCAAACAGGAUUAGAUACCCUCGUAC
rnacentral:rRNA from 1 species